rnacentral:rRNA from 1 species
CAGUAUCCGCGGUAAUACGAAGGGGGCUAGCGUUGCUCGGAAUGACUGGGCGUAAAGGGCGCGUAGGCGGCGGCCAAAGUCAGGCGUGAAAUUCCCGGGCUCAACCUGGGGGCUGCGUUUGAUACUUGGUUGCUUGAGUGGGGAAGAGGGUCGUGGAAUUCCGAGUGUAGAGGUGAAAUUCGUAGAUAUUCGGAAGAACACCAGUGGCGAAGGCGGCUCACUGGCUCAUUCUAGACGCUGAGGUGCGAAAGCGUGGGGAGCAAACAGGAUUAGAUACCCGAGUAGUCCCUGUCUCUUAUAA